AUUGAACGCUGGCGGCAUGCCUAACACAUGCAAGUCGAACGGCAGCACAGUGUGUAGCAAUACACAUGGGUGGCGAGUGGCGGACGGGUGAGGAAUACAUAGGAAUCUGCCUAGUAGUGGGGGAUAACCCGGGGAAACUCGGGCUAAUACCGCAUACGCCCUACAGGGGAAAGCGGGGGACUUUCGGGCCUCGCGCUAUUAGAUGAGCCUAAGUCCGAUUAGCUAGUGGUGAGGUAAAGGCUCACCAAGGCAACGAUCGGUAGCUGGUCUGAGAGGACGACCAGCCACACUGGGACUGAGACACGGCCCAGACUCCUACGGGAGGCAGCAGUAAGGAAUAUUGCGCAAUGGGCGAAAGCCUGACGCAGCGACGCCGCGUGGGGGA
rnacentral:rRNA from 1 species